rnacentral:ncRNA from 2 species
AAUUAAAUAUAAAAGUUAGGUGCCUUUAGAGAUAUCUAAAGGAGAAUAGGGAAUCAGGUGUAAAUCCUGAACGGACCCGCCACUGUAACUAGUAACUUACUUAAUAGUCGAUAAAGACUAUUUUACUUAGAUUCUUGUACCACUGGAUUAAUAAUCUGGGAAGGUAGAGUUUAAUUGCUAGAAGUCAGGAGACCUGCCUAAUUUUUAAGCUUACU